rnacentral:tRNA from 1 species
AGGGGCGUAGCCAAGCGGCAAGGCACGGGAUUUUGACUCCCGCAUUCGCUGGUCCGAAUCCAGCCGCUCCUG